CACGUAGGGUGCGAGCGUUGUCCGGAAUUAUUGGGCGUAAAGAGCUCGUAGGCGGUGUGUCGCGUCGGCCGUGAAAACCUGCAGCUUAACUGUGGGCUUGCGGUCGAUACGGGCAUCACUGGAGUUCGGCAGGGGAGACUGGAAUUCCUGGUGUAGCGGUGAAAUGCGCAGAUAUCAGGAGGAAUACCCGUGGCGAAGGCGGGUUGCUGGGCUGAUACUGACGCUGAGGCGCGAAAGCCAGGGAGCGAACGGG
rnacentral:rRNA from 1 species